rnacentral:pre_miRNA from 14 species
GUCCUAGCAGUAAGUAAGCAGUGAGCAGCAGCUACAACUAAAAGAUCCCAUGCAGAGAGACCCUUACUCAAGUCUUGGGAAAUCGCGGACCCCAGACACAGAGAGACCA